rnacentral:tRNA from 1 species
GGGUCGUUAGCCCAAGCAGAGCAGUUGACUUUAAUCAGCCUGGUCGCAGGUUCGAAAUCCUGCACGACCCACCA